rnacentral:rRNA from 1 species
UUUCAGUGGGGGAUACCUUACGGAAACUUACGCUAAUACCGCAUACUACCUACAGGGGGAAGGCCCGGGAUCUUCUGACCUUGCGCGAUUGACUGCGCCGAUGUCGGAUUAACUAGUUGGCGGGGUAAAGGCCCGCCAAGGCCACUAUCCGUAUGCUGGUCUGACAAGAUGAUCAGCCACACGUGGAACUGAGACACGAUUCCAACACUCCUACGCGGAGGCAGACCCUGGGGAAUAUUGGACAAUGAGGCGCAGAGCCUGCAUCCAGCCAUACCGCGUGGGUGAAGAAGGCCUUCGGGUUGUAAAGCCCUUUUGUUGGGAAAGAAAUCCAGCCGGCUAAUACCUGGUUGGGAUGACGGUACCCAAAGAAUAACCACCGGCUAACUUCGUGCCAGCAGCCGCGGUAAUACUAAUGGUGCAAGCGUUACUCUGAAUUACUGGGCGUAAAGCGUGCGAAAGCGGUUAUUUAAGUCUGUUGUGAAACCCCUGGGCUCAACCUGGGAACUGCAGUGGAAACUGGACAACUUCAGAGUGGUAAAGGGAAAUGCAAUUCCCUGUGUAGCAAUGAAAUGCGUAAAGAUCGGUAGGAACAUCCUUGGCGAAGGCAACUACCUGGACCAAGACUGACACUGAGGAUCAAAAGCGUGGGGAGCACACACGAUUAAAUACCCUGGUAGUCCACGCCCUAAACAAUGCUAACUGGAUGUUGGGUGCAAUUUGGCACUCUCUAUCGAGCUAACGCGUUAAGUUCUUCCGCCUGGGGAGUACUGUCGCGAGACUGAAACUCAAAGGAAUUGACGGGGGCCCACUCAAGCCGCGGACUAUGUGGUUUAAUUCCAUGCAACUCGAAGAACCUUCCCUUCUCUUGAUAUGUCGAGAACUUUCCAGAGAUGGAUUGGUGCCUUCAGGAACUCCAACAAAGGUGCUGCAUGGGUGUCUUCACCUCUUGUCUUGAGAUGUUGGGUUAAAUCCCGCAACAAGCGCAACCCUUGUCCUUAUUUGCCACCACAUAUUGGUGGGAACUCUAAGGAGACCGCCGGUGACAAACCGAAAGAAAGGGGGGAUUAAGUCAAAUUAUUCUGGGCCUUACGGGCAUGGCUACACACCUACUACAAUGGUAGGGACAGAGGGCUGCAAACCGGCCACUGUAAACCUAUCCCAGAAACCCUAUCUCAGUCCGGAUUGGAGUCUGCAACUCGACUCCAUGAAGUCGGAAUCGCUAGUAAUCGCAGAUCAGCAUUGCUGCGGUGAAUACGUUCCCGGGCCUUGUACACCCCCCCCGUCACACCGUGGGAGUUUGUUGCACCAGAGGCAGGUAGCUUAACCUUCGGGAGGGCGCUUGCCACGGUGUGGCCGAUGAGUGGGGUGAAGUCAUAACAGGGUACCCGUAUCAAAAGGUGCGGGUGGAUCACCUC